rnacentral:rRNA from 1 species
GGCCUUCCUUCGAAGGCGCUUCGUCGCUGCCGAGAGACGAGACCGAGUUUUGGGCGGGUACAGGCAGGCGAGAGGGUCGUCGUGGUCUCAUGGUAGGUGGUGGCCGUACAGGCGCGGUCUAGGCUAGCUGCUAGGCCGGGGGCUCGGCGGCGGCCGCUACCUGCGGCGCGAGGGCCGGCGGCAGCAGCGGUGGUAGGAGAGGGCGGAGCUGCAGGCGAGGGAGGAGGAGCGGAGGCGGCAGACGGCGACGAAGGCGAGGACGCGGAGGGUGCGGGAGAGGAAGGAGGGGCGGAAGGUGGAGGAGCAGUCACGGAAGCGGAGGCGCGUAGGGCAGCGGUGGCGGCUGGCAGGCUGGCGCCGACUGACUGAAUGCAGAGCACAAACACACGUACAACCGACCUGGUCCUCCACCACGACUGCGUGUUGGACGAGGCGGGCGACGACGGCGCGUUGGGCCGGGACGCCUCGGAGGCCGACCUGCGGCGCGCCGAGCUGCUGCUGCGGCAGCUGACGGAGCGGGCGGGGCCGGACGUGCUCGAGUGGGAGGCGUUGACGUUGUUGUAGUCGCCGGCGGACGAGGCGCUCGAGUCGCGGUGGACGGGCCUAGAGUCCCACGACAGAGACUUGAGUGAACGACUAGCCUCCCCGAACCGGUACUGUAAGAGACUAGACUUCCGCAACGAGCUACCUACAAGGUCAAACCUCUGAGAGGCGAACCGUAAACUAGAGAGUUUCAAGCUAUUGGGGUCAAAGUCGGUACACACCAGUAGACGAAGACUUCCGGACAGGAGAGAACUUUACCCAAAAUAAGGUAACGUUUACAAUGAACGUGAAGACCGACACCGAUAACUCAGCGCUGUUGCGUAACCAAUACAGUUCCGUGGACAGAAAAAAGGAUCGGAAGUCUUCAACGCGGAGUGUCAACUCAAGUAGUGGCUGGUAAACUAACCCAGGUAUAGUUGUCGUGAAGGUAAUAACUGUGUAGACCUGGAAGUCCUAAGUGGUUAAUACCUUGGACUUAGACGUUGACGUUGUCUAGAGUGUCUACGACCGGAAGUCGUCUAGUUAGGCUUCCCAUUCAACUUCGUAAAUAGAGAUUAAUCUUCGGUCCUCAAGUAUAUGUGCAGAAAGGCGGUACAUUUACUGGACCCUUAAGACGAUUACAGGCUCUUCACGUGUUUAGACCUCUCAUAGACAGAACCACCAAAGAGGGCACAUUGCCUGUGGCCCAAAUCCCGAUAGUAUGUGAGAACAGGUCCAGAAGUAUUCGAAUUCCACUGAUUACCUUCGGUAGAGUGACUAGAACAAAAGGUACUGUAACAACGGUGGAGGGAAACGGAUUGUGUACACUCAGACUCUACCACAUGAGAUGAUUGACUACGACCCUAACUCUCCGACAGUAAGUUGUUCCCAGAGUUACAAAACCUAGAAUUUCUAACGUUCUCAGACCCACUACUUCGACAUUCUCGAGACUCGACGGAAGGGUCCGACGCCUUUAACCACAACCUACCUUGGUACUAGUGAUUAGUUCGUUACCUCAUAGACCCGCAACCUCAUACGGGCGAUCGAAGUAAUAGAGACUCCCCGACGAUAUUCGAUUGUUUACUAACGUAUGGGAACGACAAACGACCAAGACAAUUUCUCUCGGAUGUACGUAACCUAGAGAGUUCUUAGGGUUCAGAGUGGCUGCUGCGAUAGUACCACUAUCACGCCUGGGCUUGAGGAGAAUGACUCGACGCCGACGCUCUCUUAGGUCUUUAUCCCCUACGAAGACAGUUCCGAGAACGUAGGUACGUUAAGUUCCCCCAUUGAACGCCGUCGUGGAACGUCGACGACCUAGAGAUGCUGACGCCACCCUAGUGUAAUGAACGUUACUUCACCAAAUUCUUUGGUGAGAAGGGUUCUGACGCUACCGAGCCCGAUUUUCCGUCGAACUUGUCCUAGUACCAGCUGCGGGACCAAGAUUGGGCGGGAAAGAACGCAGAUCGUACACCGUCGCUCCUUGACCCCUGUGGUAUGGCCCUGUGUAGGCCGCUCACCACAGCCGUGCUCCUGCUACUAAGGCUUCUAGAACUCGGGACCGUGAACCUGCCACUCCGUCAUAGACUACGGCUUUGGCAGUUGCUCCUCAUUACGUCGUUGAACCGAGAUACGACGGCACACGGUACAAACGAACGGGGUCUUACUAGCUUUGUCGAGAGUAGUCAGUACACAACCAGAGAACAACAUAAUGGCCUAUUCGAUAUAAAAGAACGACAAUAGAAAGGAGUACACGGGCAAGGCACACGUAUACCGUUGGACAGACAACAAUGUAGUGUGAUACAUACAACAUAGGUCUAAGACCUGCAAUAAAUACCUUUAUAAACAAGAGAGUGUACAACUACUUGGAUGAGGGAGACAAAGUCUUAUAUUCUGUAAAAACGUUCGAUAUGUAGCGCAAUACAUG